GCUAGUAGUGGCAGUUGAACGCGAGCCCUUGGCUGGAAAGGGUACACAGCUCAGCACUUACCACGGCAUACGGGCACCAAGCGAGUAGUAAAACAGCACACAAAAGCAAACAUACAGAAUUUAGUGGUGCUGCAAAUUGUGUGAAAAAGUGAAAAUUUAAGUAAAUUUAGACAAUAAAGAAAUCUGUGAAUAAUUAACCAAGCCGAGAAAAGGGUUUAUAUCAAAUACGAACUGAAACUAAUACUUUAAAACUGUUGGAUAUUGAAUGCUUUUUUGCUGAAAGCAUAAAUAGGCAGAACAUAGAAAAUGUAACUGUUCUACGCUACGAUGAUGAGGGUCGCAGAAAAAGCGCUUAAUGGUUGUUGUAACGCGCUCUUAAACUUUUUCACUCGACGCGCAUAGCAAGUACACAAAAAAAAUAAAGGAAAAAAAAUUAAUAAAUUGAACUGUGCUGUAGACGAUAAAGAAAGCAGAAGGCGCACAUUAAACAACAGCAAAACAAAAACAAGCUAGAAAAAAACACUGAACUUUGAAAUGCAUAAGCGUACAAUAAAGGCAAAAAACUUUGUCUUCGUCUGCGUUUGGACUUGGACUUGGUCUCGAUGCUAAAGCGUAAACGUAGUAGGCGAGCGUAGCAAUAGUGUGUGUGUGAGACGCACAUGCAGGCAUACAUUCAAGUAGCGCUACACACGCACAUACUAUACACACACUCACGCGCGUGCUCGCGCGCGCUCACACUCCAUUUUCUACAUCACUUUGUGCCUGUGCAUCAGCCUAGCGGCUCAGCACCUGCCCCAUCGUCAGCGUCAGCGCCAGCGUCAGAAUCAGAAACAGCCGCAACCUCAAUAUAAGCGGCGGCGGCGGCAUAGCAUCACCGUUAGCUUCCCAACCUAUCGCUGCCAACAUCAAACGGCCGCGCCACUGUUCAGUGUCCUUAGAGUUGUUUGUGUGUAUGUAUGUUUGUUGGCUGUGGACUGUGUCGGCUGUUGGAGUUCAGUUCAGUUUGUGUUUGCUUUGCUGCUGUAACUGCUGCCUUCACCCCAAAAUCUGUUAUUGAUUUUGGAUUCAAACACACGCACGCACGCACGCACACACACGCGCAUACAUACAUACUUCGUCGUCGUCGUCGUCGUCCUCUUCGCAGGCUGCUAACGAGAGAGAGUCAACCAACAGCAUACAAACAACCACUAAACGAAUAGCAGUAAACGCAUACGGUGUUGGCGCAGCAGCGCG